CUGUAGGCUGCAACUCGCCUACACGAAGCUGGAAUCGCUAGUAAUCGCGGAUCAGCACGCCGCGGUGAAUACGUUCCCGGGCCUUGUACACACCGCCCGUCACACCAUGAGAGUCUGUAACACCCAAAGCCGGUGGGAUAACCUUUAUAGGAGUCAGCCGUCUAAGGUAGGACAGAUGAUUAGGGUGAAGUCGUAACAAGGUAGC
rnacentral:rRNA from 1 species